CUUUCUAUCACACUAUUUAAUAUCUCUUCUCAAUAUUUCUUCUCGUCUUCUCCGUCAUCUCCAUGAAAACCAGAUCCAAAAAAGCUACUACCAACUUUCUCGUUCUCCACCACCACCAGCGUCCCCACCUUCAUCUUGUCCAUUAUCAAACAGUAAGUACCAUCGUCAUUUUUUUACACUGUUUCCAUUAUCAAAUCAGUAACAUCAUAUUCCUCUACCAUCACUAUCUCCUCCACAAAUCACAAACACCACCAUCGCCAUCAUCAUUUUUAUCCAACAACACCAUCAUAGAAGAUACGAAACGAAGACUACGUUCAAAUUGGUAAAUUUCUUAACCUUAAGUAUGCUUUUUAUUACAAUUGAUUUCAAAUUUGUUCAUCUUAAUUAAAAAAUUUAUGCACCUAUACAUAUGUUAAUUUUUAUAUGUUUAGUUUGAUCAAAAUGAACAUGGGUUCGUCCUGUCAUGAUUUCGUCCCGUUUCAAACUUAGAUGAACUUUGAUUCAUCAUGUGUUUAAAUGUGCAUAUUGAUUUAUUUUAUUUUGAAAAUGUAGAGAUAGCAUAUUUUUUCCUUGCAUAAAAAGUUCUUGUUUAAUCUAGACACGAUGAAACUAGUUUUAUCCUGUGUUAGAUUGGGUUGGAUAGACAUGACGAAACUGGUUUCAUCCUAUAUUAGAUUGGGUUGAAUUUGGUUUCACCCAUGUUAAACUAAGAUGAAACCGGUUUCAUCUAUGUUUAGGAUGAAUCUUAGAUUGUUAAAUUUGGUAUCACUCAUUUUAAACAAAGAUGAAAUUGAUUUUAUUCUGUUUGGAAUGGAUUAAUUUCAGAUUCACUCAUUUUAAAUUAGAUGAAACUGGUUUCUUCAUGUUUAGAUUAGGUUGAAUUUGAAUUUUUAGUCAUUUUAAAUGAGGAUGAAACUGAUUCCAUCCUGUUUUAGAUUGGGUGUAUUUGGUUUCAUCCAUUAUAAAUUAGGAUGAAGCUCGUAUCAUCCUGUUUAAACUAGUUUAUGUUUCAUAUUUAUGUUUCAAUGGGUACUCGGAUUUAGUAUUUCUUUUUAUAUGUCUAAAAUGAAAGGUAUGCACAACUUACUGUUUUUUUCAUCCUCUUAAUUAAUAUAGUCCAGGGCUUACUAUGUUCUUAAUGUUUGGAUUGUGAUCAAGGAUGAACAUCCUUAACCCCAAAGUCAGAUUGGGUGUGUAGAUUUGGGUUUAUCAUGUCAUUUAAUUUGUCCAUUGCAUCCCUAUGUUGAUUGGGUAUAUUUUUCCCUUGUCCUUCUUGUGCUUUUGAUAUUCAACCUUAGUUUCUUCAUUCCCUUAUUUUUUUAGAUUAGAUGGUUUCCUUGUUCCUGUUUUUUUUUUUUUUUUAACUAUUGGUUUCCUUGUUCAAGUGUAUAUAAAUGUGCAUCAUGUUGACAGCAUUCCACACCGAAUGGACUUAAGCUAAGCAUAGCACUUGUACUUGUCAUCAGCUUGUCGCUGGUUGAUUGGUUUUGGACCCCCCCCCCCCCCAAUUUUUCAUAAUUCAGAGUAUUUUUUCAUUACAGAUUGAAAGCCGUCAUUUUUUUCAUCAAUGAAACAUGUUGUAGUCUGCGACAUACUUCCAAGCAUUGCUAGACAUUUCUAUUGAUUUAUUGCGUAUGUGUGAUUGUCUUUGAAUCUCUCAGAUAUAAAUGCGACUUGCCAAUUUCUACUCCUAAGAAUAGUAAUUAUACUUUACUUUUGUUGUCAUAACUUUAAAAAAAAAAAAAAAAAGUGAUUGGUUAAUGAUAGUUGGUGACUUCGUCGAAUGCUAUGGAAGUAUUUUUCAGUUAAAGAUACUGAAUCCUUUAGUUUUUCAGUUCACCUGCUUGAGAAAUCAGUAUGAAGUCCCGUCAUUUUUUGAUGGUUUUACAGCAACGAAAAGAAAUUUUCAGAAAUUGGAUAUCUGGGCCUAACAAUUCUUCACGUCAUUUUUAGAAGUUGGGUAUCUGGGCCUGGCAAUUCUACGAGGUCUUAAUUGGAUGUGAAAACUACGGUGAGACCCAUUCUCCCAGAUUUUUCCACUGAGAAACCCACGGACAGAAAACUUCAGACGCGCACCCAUUUUUGGGGGAAAACUUACUCCCAAACCCAUAUUUUCUAAAAUUAGGUUUCGGUCUUUUUUUUUUUUUUUGUUCAUUUUCGAUUCAUUUUCUUCUUCUCUCCACUCUACUGUUUGAUUCGACUUUCAUUAGAUCUGUUCAAACCCAUACUUUCGUUAGACAGUUUAGUGGAGAUUCAAGACUGAAUCAGUUGAUCCAUACCAGUUCCUGAUGGGUUUUGUGACAGCGUUGGAUUCAAUCUGCUGGUGUUGGUGAUUUGAAUUCGCGACAUAGAGAGCUGGCAGUCGGUGGUGAUGAAUCUUGUCAGCCGUGGUCUAGAAAUGGGUUCUGCUGGUGUUAAUUUCGUGAUUUUUUACGAGAGAAAUUGUGGCAGGAAUUCGAGCCAGAAGAAGAUAAGGCUGGCUACUGUGAUGGCUGAGAUAAAGAGUUGAUAUGUUGCCGCCUUGAUCAUGGGGGUAGACUGAGGAAGUUAAUUAAAGAGAAACUUCGAAGGCUUGGGUUCCAUCUAUCGUUGACAGCAAGUGGUUAAUCUAUAUAGGCGUAUCUCGGUACUCGAUUAAGAGCAGAUUGGCAACAAGAUUUCAGACAGGAGUGAGGAUGGAAUCAAGCUUCUACUCGAACUGAAGCAGCAACGUCGCUGGAUUCAUGGGGUUCGUUUGCGAGCUGUUGCAGUCGUCUGUACUCGAAGGAUGCUUAUGAUAUCAAGGGUUUUUGAAGGCUAAGAUAAUUGCAGUUAGCAAUGACGAUGUUCAGGGUGCAAUCGAUGGAGUGAAGCCUGGAAUCUGCUAGCUAGGAUGGCUGAAGUGCAUGAUGGAAGUGGUGAUUCUUAUUCUGACUGAAAUUGGAUUUGUUUAGUUGGCCGGAGUUGGGAGAUACGAAAUUGGUGUGUAGCUGUUGAUUUGACUUGAAGAAGAUACGAGCAGUUAAGCUGGAGAUGAAAGUGGCUAGUCAGGGACCCUUUGAGGUUUGCUCGUCAGCUGGAGGAAGAACAGAGAACGUUUUUGGUGCGGUGGGUAUUGGAAAGUCGAGCUUUAGCACUGGGCGUAGUGUUGAAAGUGGUAAUGUGAUUAGGAAUAUUGGAGAAGUCGAACUUUUCAAGUGUAGCUUCUGUCUUUUGGAUUGCGCUUAAUGUGAUUGUUGUCUGAAACUUUCCCCUCUUCGUAAUUAGUGUAUCCAAGUUCUUUGA